rnacentral:rRNA from 1 species
UACGGAGGAUCCGAGCGUUAUCCGGAUUUAUUGGGUUUAAAGGGUGCGCAGGCGGGAGAUUAAGUCGGCGGUGAAAUUUUGCAGCUCAACUGUAAAAGUGCCUUCGAAACUGGUUUCCUUGAGUGUGGAUGAAGUAGGCGGAAUUUGUGGUGUAGCGGUGAAAUGCAUAGAUAUCACGAGGAACUCCGAUUGCGCAGGCAGCUUACUAAACCAUAACUGACGCUCAGGCACGAAGGCGUGGGGAUCAAACAGGAUUAGAUACCCUGGUAGU